UGAGGCUUCAAUCUUCUAGCUUUCUGAACGCGGAUGAACUCACUUGCUUUGAUGAGGCCAUGGUGCCUUGUCCUAUGGAAUAUUUCGAAGAUGGGCCUCUGAAAGGUUUUUCUGUUGACAGAUUCGUUUCCGGACAGCAAGUCAAAGUUUUUGGCAGAAGAAAGUCUUCCCCAGCCUCAGAUUCUUCUGGUUUUGCUGAAAGAGUCCAACUUCCCUCCAAAGCACUUCCCAU
rnacentral:sRNA from 1 species